rnacentral:rRNA from 1 species
CCUACGGGGGGCUGCAGUGAGGAAUAUUGGACAAUGGAGGCAACUCUGAUCCAGCCAUGCCGCGUGUAGGAAGACUGCCCUAUGGGUUGUAAACUACUUUUAUAUAGGAAGAAACAGUAUCACGUGUGAUACUUUGACGGUACUAUAAGAAUAAGGAUCGGCUAACUCCGUGCCAGCAGCCGCGGUAAUACGGAGGAUCCAAGCGUUAUCCGGAAUCAUUGGGCUUAAAGGGUCCGUAGGCGGGUUUAUAAGUCAGUGGUGAAAGUUUGCGGCUUAACCGUAAAAUUGCCAUUGAUACUGUAGGCCUUGAAUCAUUGUGAAGUGGUUAGAAUAAGUAGUGUAGCGGUGAAAUGCAUAGAUAUUACUUAGAAUACCGAUUGCGAAGGCAGAUCACUAACAAUGUAUUGACGCUGAGGGACGAAAGCGUGGGUAGCGAACAGGAUUAGAUACCCUAGUAGUC